rnacentral:rRNA from 1 species
CUCGCCCUACGGGACGCAGCAGUGAGGAAUAUUGGUCAAUGGGCGGGAGCCUGAACCAGCCAAGUCGCGUGAGGGAAGACGAUCCUAUGGAUUGUAAACCUCUUUAGGCGGGGAGCAAUGCCGGGCACGUGUGCCCGGAGGGAGAGUACCCGCAGAAUAAGCAUCGGCUAACUCCGUGCCAGCAGCCGCGGUAAUACGGAGGAUGCGAGCGUUAUCCGGAUUUAUUGGGUUUAAAGGGUGCGUAGGCGGAUUUUUAAGUCAGCGGUAAAAUGUCCGGGCUCCACCCGGGCCGGCCGUU